CUUGAUUCUCUUAUAAUGGGAAAUUUAAUUACAUGAAACAUGAUGUCGACCAAAGGGCAAACUUGACAAAGUUCCAUCGAGACAAAUUAAUGCCUCCUUUAUAGGGUCAACAUUAGAAUUUAGAAGCACAGAAGAAGGAAUGAAAUAUAUAUAUAAAAAUUGCCUCAAAAUGGAGCAAGGAAUGGCUCCAAGAACAAGAUGAAUACCCAUCAUCACCGACUUUAUUUCUCCUCCAAAGAAAAAACCCAGUUUAAGUUUUCGAGAUUCCUAAAACACGUAGAAUAAAAGCCUUUACCAUUUUUAUAAGCUAAUUAUAAUAUUUUUUUUAUAAAAAAAAUAUGCUCAUUACGGACAUUUAAAAAAUAUAAGCGGUUUCCCCCCUCUUCAGGUUUCUUUCUUACAUGUGCAUAAAUCAAAUAUUAUAUCGUGAAACCCAUUUUUUAUAACCAAAUUGUUUCUUCUUCUAUAAUCAAAAGAGAAGCAAUAAAUAAAUAAAAACAAUCAAUAACUUUAACAGUUAGAAAGAUACCACCAUAGAGAAAAAAUGGGAAGAUUUGGUUUCCCUGUGAAAGACACCAACAGUGAGCUUUAUAGCAUUGGGAUGAUGAAGAAACCAGAGUCAGGUUUCAGGUUUUCA
rnacentral:lncRNA from 1 species